rnacentral:rRNA from 1 species
AUUGAACGCUGGCGGCAUGCUUUACACAUGCAAGUCGGACGGCAGCACAGAGAAGCUUGCUUCUUGGGUGGCGAGUGGCGAACGGGUGAGUAAUAUAUCGGAACGUACCGAGUAAUGGGGGAUAACUAAUCGAAAGAUUAGCUAAUACCGCAUAUUCUCUGAGGAGGAAAGCAGGGGACCUUCGGGCCUUGCGUUAUUCGAGCGGCCGAUAUCUGAUUAGCUAGUUGGUGGGGUAAAGGCCUACCAAGGCGACGAUCAGUAGCGGGUCUGAGAGGAUGAUCCGCCACACUGGGACUGAGACACGGCCCAGACUCCUACGGGAGGCAGCAGUGGGGAAUUUUGGACAAUGGGCGCAAGCCUGAUCGAGCCAUGCCGCGUGUCUGAAGAAGGCCUUCGGGUUGUAAAGGACUUUUGUCAGGGAAGAAAAGGCUGUUGCUAAUAUCGACAGCUGAUGACGGUACCUGAAGAAUAAGCACCGGCUAACUACGUG